GUGCUUGCUUCGGCAGCUCAGAUACUAAAAUUAGACUGAUACAGAGAAGAUUAGCAUGGUCCCCGCACAAGGAUGACACACAAAUUCGUGAAGCAUUCCGUAUUUGG
ensembl:snRNA U6 U6 spliceosomal RNA